rnacentral:rRNA from 1 species
UACAGAGGUCUCAAGCGUUGUUCGGAUUCAUUGGGCGUAAAGGGUGCGUAGGCGGCGCGGUAAGUCGGGUGUGAAAUUUCGAGGCUUAACUUCGAAACUGCAUUCGAUACUGCCGUGCUUGAGGACUGGAGAGGAGACUGGAAUUUACGGUGUAGCGGUGAAAUGCGUAGAUAUCAGGAGGAACACCGAUGGCGAAGGCAGGUCUCUGGGCUGACACUGACGCUCAUGCACGAAAGCGUGGGGAGCAAACAGG